GUCAGGCAGUUCCCUUUGAAGAUGUUUACUAAUUAAAUAAGAACAAAGAUGGAAUGAAUGUUAAGGACCUUCAAACACUUGUUGUAUGCUGCAGCUCCAUGACUGUACUUCACAAGCUGCUGCAAAAUCCAUACAUUCUGCAAUAUGCCACAUUCCUUUAAUGGAUUUUCUUUGUUAAAAAGGUUAAGGGGAAACAAAAGGAAUUCUGGCUUGUUUCAUAGCUCGUUUUUCACAUCUGCAGCUUUUACAGUAGGAAAGGUGCAGAGUUUGUUGGAUCUGGCAGAGCACUGAUACCCAGCAUGGAAGACUCCAGCUCCAGCUGGGGCUUUAGGAAACUUACUGGCUCUGCUUAUUUUUCUUAUCCACCCAGCAUAGGCUGGUACCUAAAGGCACAAGUGCAAACCAAACUCCAGCUACAAGCACUGCCAGAUUCAGGCAAAUUCUGAAUAACCCUUAUUUUUAGGAUCUGGGGCAAAGUUGCUUUCUCACUCAUUUAGGUGUGACACACUCGUGCUGAUCUCAAUAGCUGAAGAUCUUUUUAAUUAAAGAACAAUGAUAAAAAGCCACAUAAAAUGGGUUGCAUCAAAGCAUCAUCAUACUACAAAUGCUAAUUACUAUAAUUAUACAAGAUUGCUCACGUUUAUUUUCUAGGUGGGAAGGCACACCAGCUGACUGGGUUUCAUCGUGUGGCUAUUUCAGCAAAAUUUUAAGGAGUCAGAUGUCUUGCCUAGGAGCUGUCCCUUCCAAGCUGCACAGCUAUGAGCGAUUUCAUGAGGCACUCAUACGAGACCAAUUAGGAGAAACUGCAAGGGUGAGCACCCUGGUACUCUGCAAGUAG
rnacentral:lncRNA from 1 species